UCCGAGUUGACCCCGGCAGUCUCCUAUGAGUCCCCGGCCGAACCGCUGGCAACAUAGAACGAGGGUUGCGCUCGUUGCGGGACUUAACCCAACACCUCACGGCACGAGCUGACGACAGCCGUGCAGCACCUGUGCACGCUCCCUCGCGGGUCGGUCCCGUUUCCGGUUCCUACCACGUGCAUGUCAAGCCCGGGUAAGGUUCUUCGCGUUGCAUCGAAUUAAACCACACGCUCCGCUGCUUGUGCGGGCCCCCGUCAAUUCCUUUGAGUUUUAGCCUUGCGGCCGUACUCCCCAGGCGGGGUGCUUAAUGCGUUAGCUUCGGCACGGACGGGGUUGAUAUCCGCCCACACCUAGCACCCAACGUUUACGGCUAGGACUAC
rnacentral:misc_RNA from 1 species